CCUACGGGUGGCUGCAGUGGGGAUUAUUGGACAAUGGGCGAAAGCCUGAUCCAGCCAUGCCGCGUGUGUGAAGAAGGCCUUCGGGUGGUAAAGCACUUUCAGUGGGGAAGAAAGCCUUGGGGCUAAUACCCUCGAGGAAGGACAUCACCCACAGAAGAAGCACCGGCUAACUCCGUGCCAGCAGCCGCGGUAAUACGGAGGGUGCGAGCGUUAAUCGGAAUUACUGGGCGUAAAGCGCGCGUAGGCGGUCUGAUAAGCCGGUUGUGAAAGCCCCGGGCUCAACCUGGGAACGGCAUCCGGAACUGUCAGGCUAGAGUGCAGGAGAGGAAGGUAGAAUUCCCGGUGUAGCGGUGAAAUGCGUAGAGAUCGGGAGGAAUACCAGUGGCGAAGGCGGCCUUCUGGACUGACACUGACGCUGAGGUGCGAAAGCGUGGGUAGCAAACAGGAUUAGAUACCCGAGUAGUC
rnacentral:rRNA from 1 species